rnacentral:rRNA from 1 species
GGGCCCGCACAAGCGGUGGAGCAUGUGGUUUAAUUCGAAGAUACGCGCAGAACCUUACCAACACUUGACAUGUUCGUCGCGACUCUAAGAGAUUAGAGUUUUCGGUUCGGCCGGACGAAACACAGGUGCUGCAUGGCUGUCGUCAGCUCGUGUCGUGAGAUGUUGGUUAAGUCCCGCAACGAGCGCAACCCUCACUUUUAGUUGCCAUCAUUUAGUUGGGCACUCUGAAAGAACUGCCAGUGAUAAGCUGGAGGAAGGUGGGGAUGACGUCAAGUCCUCAUGGCCCUUACGUGUUGGGCUACACACGUGCUACAAUGGUAUCUACAACAGGAAGCAAGACUGCGAAGUUAAG